rnacentral:lncRNA from 1 species
GAAAAAAAAUACUUGGCUUUUCACCUCAUAACAUAAAUGAUACAUCUACUUUUAAAACUACAUAUUUUUCAUUUAAAACUAUAUAUAAAUUUAUAUAAAUUUGCUUUUCAUCUUGUCACACCCCAUGCACAUCCAAACAUUACCAACAAAUAGAACACAAACCCUAGCCCGUUUCCCAGCUGCCAGAAUGCCCGCCACUCGUCAUGGGCACUCCCGACGCGGCGGCUAAGCCAAUGGACCCAACAGUCGUCGACCUUCCCGAACCGUAGCUGCAUGGUGUCGCAGCCUCAGAAGGAGGCUGUGGACUCCAUGGGUGACCUCUCCGUGGUUGCCAAUUCUUGUCAAGGAUAUGUCCGUUGGAAGAUGACAAUUCUUGAACGGUGAUGGGGGAUGUCGGCCAAGCAGUCCGAGGUAGCGAUUAUGGAGGCUGGCGGCGGCGGCGGCGGCGGCGGACGUGAGUUGAGAGUUUGGGUAUCUCGGUGAUGUGGGUUGGGUUUAGCAGA